rnacentral:miRNA from 1 species
UUGGGUGGCCUAGGAAUGCCU